GAUGAAGAACGCAGUGAAAUGCGAUACGUAGUGUGAAUUGCAGAAUUCAGUGAAUCAUCGAAUCUUUGAACGCACAUUGCGCCCUUUGGUAUUCCUUAGGGCAUGCCUGUUCGAGCGUCAUUUAAACCUUCAAGCUAAGCUUGGUGUUGGGUGACUGUCCGCUUCACGGCGGACUCGCCUCAAAAUUAUUGGCGGCCGGUACAUUGGCUUCGAGCGCAGCAGAAACGCGAACUCGGGCCCGUCGUAUUGGCUCCCAGAAGCUAUCUUCACAAUUUUGACCUCGGAUCAGGUAGGGAUACCCGCUGAACUUAAGCAUAUCAAUAAGCGGAGGA
rnacentral:misc_RNA from 1 species